CCUACGGGGUGCACCAGUGGGGAAUAUUGCACAAUGGGCGCAAGCCUGAUGCAGCCAUGCCGCGUGUAUGAAGAAGGCCUUCGGGUUGUAAAGUACUUUCAGCGGGGAGGAAGGUGUUGUGGUUAAUAACCACAGCAAUUGACGUUACCUGCAGAAGAAGCACCGGCUAACUCCGUGCCAGCAGCCGCGGUAAUACGGAGGGUGCAAGCGUUAAUCGGAAUUACUGGGCGUAAAGCGCACGCAGGCGGUCUGUCAAGUCGGAUGUGAAAUCCCCGGGCUCAACCUGGGAACUGCAUUCGAAACUGGCAGGCUAGAGUCUUGUAGAGGGGGGUAGAAUUCCAGGUGUAGCGGUGAAAUGCGUAGAGAUCUGGAGGAAUACCGGUGGCGAAGGCGGCCCCCUGGACAAAGACUGACGCUCAGGUGCGAAAGCGUGGGGAGCAAACAGGAUUAGAUACCCCAGUAGUC
rnacentral:rRNA from 1 species